UUCCCUGGCAGACAAUUUGAGGCCUAGCUCCAUGUUGUGAUGCUGAUACAACAGAACACUGUGUACAUACAUAUGUGCCCUCCUCUGGCACAGAAGAAAUGCUUUCCUUGUGUAGACAGAGUGCUAAUUAAAGGAUUUUGAACAUACUGAUUAAAAGAGACCACGUGUCAGUAUUUGGAUUUCCUGAAGAUGAUCUCCCAGUUCUCCAUAAACACAUCUACAUUGUUUCAUUAGCAGUGCAAAGUGAAGACGAAGACUUUUCUUGGCCAUUGCUUGACCCUGAGCAAAGCUGUGAAUAUAGUUGAGUGAUUCUCCAGACAGACCAGCUGCAGAGUUUCCCUCCUAGAGGGGGACAGAAAGAGACUUUCAGUCCUCUCAGGCUGAAAUGGGAGAACCAUCCUACCUUGAAUAAAUGGGCCCAUUGUUAAUUUUAAGCUGUUGGGUAUUUUCUUUUACAUUCCCUUCCAACUACCCUGUCGUUAUGCCAAGUUGGAAAGUUAAUGAUUUAGUAUGUAUAACUGCAUAAUGUAUAUUUCACAUGUAUGGUCACCUUCUGCUUUAAAAGUAUUAAUUACCUUGUGUGUGAGGCACAGAGACCUAUUUUUUCUGUGUGGUAAUUUUCUAUCAUUGUCGUGACAAGGGUAAAGAACCUCCAGAUAAUUCUGAAGAUGUUUUUCUGGGUUGUUAUUUGUAAAGAAAUGAAAAAUCUUAUCAAUAAUAAGAUAUAAAUAAGUAGUUUUAGAAUAGUGGAGCUUGAUUUUUUUAGUUUUAAUGAAUGUUAGGCAUUUUGGAAGGCUCUUUGUUCAAGUAAGAGGAAUUUUACUGGUCUGUAGGCUAUCUGUGUCUGAUGGAGGAAACAAUAUUGUAGAGAGUAGACGAAGUAAGAAUGCUAAACCUAAGUAAAGGAGAUUUUUAGAUAACUUGUUCACCUACUCAUCGAUCAGAUAUAAUAUCUACUUAAACUGAGAAUAUUGAAGACUGUGGGGUUAUUUUCAGUUAUUUUUGAGAACUUUCAAGGCAAACAAUGUUUCUUUAUGAUAGUUGUUGGUCAGGUUGCAGUGUGAAUUCAUAGUUAACUGGUUGUCUUCAUCCAAAAUAUCCUUUCUGCAGUAGUUCUUACCCAGAUUCUCAUAUACCAUGAGACUCGUGGCCCCCAGUUACAACUGCAUGGAGGAAAAACUCUGGUAUCAGUUAGGUAAUCUAGAAGCACACAUCGCUCUGGACAAAAAAGGGGUUGUUUCUUUGGUGUCUUGUAAGGGAUAAUUACGUUCAGUUUUAGUAGGUGAGACUCUAAGCCUUUAUUUAAAUUUCUGAGAUAUAGAAGUAUUGGCUGUAUAAUACUAUAUAAUAUAAAACAUGACAGAAUGAGACCCUAGUAUGUGAAAUAUCAAUUUUUGUAUGCAUUUGUAAAUAAAUGACAUAAGGAAAUGAAAAGAGAAAAAAUUGAAGCAGUUAAUGUAGUGACCUUGGUGACUCUUAACUUAGGUAUUCUAUGUGCACAGCCACUCAGUAGCCCUGUUGGGAAUGCAGGUUUGGUUGUUAAAUUACAAAAGUGGGAAAGUAACUUUUCUAGCACAGGUACUCUGUUUUAAUGAAGAUUUUUCUUUUUUUUUUUUGGUAAUAAACUAUUUAUGAAUAUACAAAGCGGACAGUAUUGAAUGAGUGUUUAAAGUUCGGUUUGGAGGGCCCCUGGGUGACUCAGUUAAGCAUCUGAAUUCAGCUCAGGUCAUGUCUCACAGUUCUUUGAGUUUGAGAGCCCUGCAUUGGUUUCUCUGCUCUCAGCUGGGAGCCAGCUUUGGAUCCUCUGUUUGCGUCUCUCUUUGCCCCUCCCCCCAACUCACUGUCUCCCUCUCUCAAAAAUAAAUAAACAUUAAAGGAAAAGUUAGUUUUGGAAGAAUUUUUUAUAAUAUUAAUGAAACCAUAUGUUCACUUCACUAUCUUUCCCCACCUCAUUUUUUUCUUGUUUUACAUGAGUGGUGUUAUCUACCCUUGUGUAAGUAAGCAUUUCUUUGACAGCUGUUGAUGUUGCCCAUUUUAUGUGAUGAUUAAUGGAACAAAGUCUAUCAACCUCUUUGGCGUUUAGUACUCCCAGCAGGACUAGAUAGUUACAGCCCAUGUCCAUGAUAGGCCUACAUGAAAGAGCAAAAUGGACUGGGAAAGUUAACAGGAGGAAAUGGAAAAGAGCCACAUUAGGUGGAGAAGAGAGACAAUUUAAAAAAGGCCACAGUGGAGCACUUAUUUACUGGGUAACAUUUGGUACUCAGGCAAUCUUCUUAACCCUUCACCCCUUCCUGCCUUUAAAAUUUGGUUAAUUUAUGCUUCUUUUUAGGUAAUAUAUUCAUAGGGUUUGAAGUUCCAAAGAUACAAUAGCAUGUACAGGAGAGUCUCAUUUUUCCCGCCAUUCAUUUCCUCUUCUGGAAGCAACCAGUGCUAACAUUUUCUUGUGUAUACUUUCAGAAAUGAUCUAUAUAGAUGCAUGUAUAUACAUAUAUAUCCUUUCCACCCUCCUUUUCAACACAAAUUGUAUCCUUAAAAACUAUAUAUUUUUUGGCAUUUUUUUUCCACUCAACCCCAAAUUAAUAAAUAUAUCUUUAUUCUUUUUAUAUAAAGCUGCAUUGUUUGGAUUGGUCAUGAUUUAUUUAACUGUUUCCUAUUGAUAGGUCAUGAUUUAUUUAACUGUUUCCUAUUGACAAGUUGUUUCUUGUGUUUUACUGACACUGCAUUGUAAUUUUUGCAUUUAUAUACGUUGCAUAUAUGUGAACGUAUCUAUCAGAUAAAUUCCUAGAAAUGGAAUUGCUGAGUCAAAGGGCUAUGUAUAUUAAUGAUUUUGAUUGAUAGUGCCAAAUAUCUCUAUGGAGGCACUCCUGCCCACAAUAUGAGAAUGCUGGUUUCCUCAUACUUUCACUAGCCCAUGUUUCAACAGCCUUUGAUCUUUUCUAAUCAGAUGGGCCUAUUUCCACUUUUCUCUUUUUUAUAGGACUUAAUCACAAGUAUUCUACUGAGGAUUUUGUUUUUAAGUGGUUCAUUAUUUCCCAUUUUGCAUGAACAUAUGAAAUAAAAAAUGUGCUGCUCUUCUGUAAAUGAUACCAUUAAUUUCUAGGGAUGAUAGUCUGAGUUUUGUCAUGCAGUUUUGAUUAAUAGUUACCUUUAUCAUUUAUUUCCUGUUUUUUAAAAAAUUUAUUUCCUAUUUCCAAAUGGAUUUCCUCUCAUUGUUAACAUAUUACUUCCAAUUACAUGGUGAAAUAUUUUGCUUGUUUUUUCUUGAACGGUUUUUGGCAUAUUGCCCUGCCGUAGACUUUCUGGAAAGUUUAAGCAGAUCACAUUUAAUAGAUUCAAGGUUGUUACUUCUAGAGUUUCUCCUGGAGCCUGAUAUAUUGUGGGAUUUCAAAUCCUGCUCUUCUCUAGCUCCCUUUAAAUGAUGUAACAAGGAGACUGGCCAUUAUGAGCUGUUCAGUAUGGCCCUCAGACACAGUAAAAUUCACCCCUAGCAGACUCACUGUGUUUUCAUUUUCAACCUUUAUUGGCCAGUAGAGCUUAACUGAAGUGUUAAGUGUUCCAUAGCAUAGUGAGUCAGGCAUUGUGAAGGCAUACUAACAAUAGAUUUCUUCAUUUUACCUUGGUUUAAACAGCAGGCUAUGUGUGUUGGUAACCUUGGUGACAAAAAAGAGUAAGGAUGCCAGGGAUGUUUGUAUUUUAUGUGGUUAAAGGAGGGAUGUGGAAUUUCCCUUUAGUGUGUUGCUAUAAAUUUUUAAAUAUGAUGAGAAGAGGGCCACCUGGCUGGCUCACUUGGUGGAGCGUGCAACUCUUCAUCUCAGGGUCGUAGGUUCAAGUCCCACGUUGGGCACAGAGAGUACUUAAAAAUAAAAUCUUUGAAAAAUAUAUGAUGAGAAGAAUUUGGAACUAGAUAAGAAUUUGUACCAUUGGUUAUUUGAAUUCUGUGACUUGUUAAACAUUUUUUUCCAGAAUCCAAAAAUUGAUUUAACAGUGGCCAUUGUUUUUCUUGAUGAUUGUCUUGGGUAAAUUUUGAUUUACCAAAAUUUUAUUUUAAUGACAUUAACAACUGAAUGCCAUUUACCAUUAGUUCUGUCAGGGACUUAAGUGUUGUGAUUUGGUUCUGUUGAGGAUCCCAGUUAUUAGCUCAGGAUUUCACAAAUGAUUUCUGAGAUUUUAAUUUUUAUAGGUGGCAAAAUUAAAAAAAAAUUAGUAAGGUUGUAUAAUGUUGGCUGGAGGUGGUUGUGGGUAUGUUCUGAAGGUAUUUUUCUUCUUGGGAAAAGGUAGUGGAGGACAAAUGUCCUUUAGAAAACAAAUGCUUUAUCCCUUAAAUUGGAACCCUUAGAGAUGUUCUAGAGAAAGAAAUUUAUACAAAGAUAAAAGCAUUUUUAUGCAUGUCAUUGUCAUGAUUUUGAACAUUCUCUUGAAGUAUCUCUAUGCUACUUAUAAAUAUUCUACAAAUAAUUCUUCUGGUCUUUUUAUAGUAGGCAUUUCUUUUUGUAUAUAACUGUCCAUUCUGGAAGAUUCUAAUUAUUGGUAUCCAAUUCUCAGAGUGAUAUUCAAUAUUUUAGUAGGCACAUGUUUCCAAACUUCAUCAGUGGUUUAUGCCCUUGUAGUUUGGUUCUUCAUAUUCAGACUGGCAAGUUGCCCAACCAGGAAUUCUGAAAUCCUGCAUUCAAUGCAUUAUUGUCCUAUUUAAAAACUGUUAACAGGGGCACCUGGGUGGCUCAGUCGGUUGAGCAUCUGACUUCGGCUCAGGUUAUUAUCUCAUGGUUCGUGAGUUCGAGCCCUGCGUCGGGCUCUGUGCUGAUAGCUCAGGGCUUGGGGCCUGCUUUGGAUUCUGUGUUCCCUCUCUUUCUGCUUCUCCUCUGUUCACACUCUGUCUCUCUUUCAAAAAAAAUAAAUAAAGAUUUAAAAAAAUAAAUAAAUAAAAAUAAAAACUGUUAAGAGCUUCCUGUUAUCUGUUGAGUUAUUGCUAUAUUCCUCUGCCUGGCAUUCAGGCUGCAUAUAAAUGGGCCCACUUAAUACAGCUGAGUUUAUGGUCCAAAAUGCCCAUUUUUAACCUUAAUCUUUUUGGUCCUUAAUUUUUUGGUCUCUUAAUUUUUUGGUCUCUUAAUUUUUUGUGCUUACUACCUUUGUUUUCUUCUUACCUCUAAAGUUCUACCUAUCUUUCAAGGCACAUUCAUAUACCAGGUGCUCUUCCAAAUUUUUGACUACUCCAACUUGCUUGGGUCUCCUUUCUUUUCUAUAUUAAGUAGUAAUAACAAUAGCAAUGUAAAUAUGCUGACAUUUAUUGAGCCCGUGUUAUUGUCUAGGCCCUGCUGUAAGUGUUUUCCUCAUGUUCCAGUAUUUAAUCCUCAUAAUGACCCACUGAGGAAGUAUGAUUUUAAAUCUCUGAUUUAUAGAUGAAGAAACUGAGGGAGGAAGAAGUUAAAUAACAUGCCCAGAGUUACACAGAUGGUAAUUGAUUAGGCUUAGGAUUUGAAAUCAAACGGAGUAGUAAUAAUGCUUUUUUUAACCAGGUUCUCUCUUUUCUGGGAAUAGAUGACAGUUUUAACUACUGACGGCCAAGUUCGUGAAUGUGUUGUUUCUUCUUCUUCUUCUUCUUCUUCUUCUUCUUCUUCUUCUUCUUCUUCUUCUUCUUCUUCUUCUUCUUCUUCUUCUCCUCCUCCUCCUCCUCCUCCUCCUCCUCCUCCUCUUCCUCCUCUUCCUCUUCCUCUUCUUCCUCUUCCUCCUCCUCCUCUUCCUCCUCCUCUUCCUCCUCCUCCUCCUCCUCCUCCUCCUCCUCCUCCUCCUCCUCCUUCUCCUCCACCUCCUCCUCCUUCUUUUCCUUCUCUCUCCCGUGUGUGUAUUUCUUAGAGAGACAAUACAUGCUGGAGAAUCAAAGACUUGUAUAAAUGGGAAUAACUGAGAUUAUUAAAAAAAAAAAAUGACUGCUUUCCAAAGUGAUUAUCAAAGCCAAUCUAAGAAAUUUUACAAAUGUAGAUUUCAGGCCCUAGACUUUGAAUUCAGGAUGUUUAAGGAUUCUUACAUGCUGUCUGGAUAUUUCUCAUCUACCUUUUGCGUUCCAUUUUGUACACUAAUAUUUGGGAACCAUGUAUGGUAUUGCUUUUUUAGAAAACAUUUUUACUGUAGACCUUUUGUUAGGUCAUUUCAGCAAAAAGGCUGAGGCUAAGUUACAUUGGAACUGUCCUUGACUAAACAACGUGGUAGAUCGACUUUUUUUCAACCAUCAGUCUUUUGUCAGUUUUCAGAGUUCAAUCACCAUAGGUCAAAUUAUUUUUGUAAAUAAAUGACAAUCAGAGUUUAGUUCUGUUUACAAUGUUUUAUUAGAUUUUUUUUUGAAGCUUUUCUAUUUAUUUUGAGAGAGAGAGAAAGAGAGCACAAUGCCCUGAACAGGGGAGGGGGCAAAGAGAGAGGGAGAGAGAGAAUCCCACGUAAGGUCCAUGUGGAGCCAGACGUGUGGGGCUUGAUCUCAUGAACUGUGAGAUCAUGACCUGAGCGGAAAUCAAGAGUUGAAUACUCAACCGAAUGAGCUACCCAGGCACCCCUGUUUACAAUGUUUUAAGUAUCUUUGUGACAAAGAGUUAGAGGAUUGAAGUUGACAUACUAAUUAUAAUAUUUUAAUACUAUAAAAGUUAAUAAUGUUAAAUUUACCAAAGACUUUUUUAGGAAUUUUUGACUAUACUUGGUUUUAUUUUAUACUUCAUUGCUAAAUCAAAGUGGUAACCUGUUAAAAAGAACUAGUUACAGUUUUUUUAAUCCCAUGAACCAGAGAAUACUACAGACUUUUGGUCUUCAUAUUAGAUUUCACAGCAGUAUAGUGUAAGUACAUAUAAAUAGGUCAUAUACUUUGUUAAAUUGUAAACUCUCUUACCAGGAAAAAAACCCUUACACUGUGAGUCUUAUUUACUCAAGAUCGUGCUGGAAUUCCCAAUUUGUGUUCAUUAGCUGUUGACUGAUGAUCAUAAUGAUAAUAGAGGACAGAUGGGAAGCCGGGUUGCAAUCUCAAUCAAGUUUCCUAUAUAGUUGUCUGUUAAUGUACAUAAUUGAUAGAAUUAACUGAUGAAGCAUUUUGGUGUUCCUUGUUUUUAGUUCUAGUUAGGCUUUGACUUUCUAGGAAAUGUCCCAGAGGUUACAUCAUAUGAUAACCCCCUGCCUCCCAAGGUACAGUCUUUCUCUGUGCCAGUCAGAAUUUGUUUUCUGUAACUUUGACCCGAUGAUUCUGCUUCUCUCCUUUAGUGCUAUGCACAACAAAGGAUAACAGCCUUUCAAAUAGUGACCGAGUUGUAUUUCCCUUGGAGUCUUGUGGAUAUUCUGUAGGAAGCCAUUUCUUCAAAUGUUUCUCUCAUGGCACUUUGCCUCUGUCUUCACACCCUUGGGCACAUGCUUUUAGAAGUUUUUAAAUGUCUCCUUAUGUUUGACUCUCAGAACUGAUCUAUUAAGACCAAUGCAAAAGUAUAGUUAUUAAGUCAGGAAGCUUAUUUUUGUAUGACUAGAUAGUGUGGGCUUUAGAAGCUGCUCUGAGCAGUGGGCUUAAUGGAACCAUCAGUGUUUUCUCUGUAUGCUUUUGUACUGUUUGAAAUUUUUAAACAAAAGAGAAAGAGAAAGAGAAAGAAAACUAAAACUGGUUAUGCUUUGUACAUGUGUAAAUUGAGGCUUGUCUGGACAUACGUGGAGGGUAGCAGAGCCAAAGAGGGCAGGGGUGUGUGUAUGGGUGUGUGCUGCUUGUGUGAAAGAUCAAGGAACCUCAUGGCAAGGAAUUUAGGAAACAGAUAAUUGAGUGUAUUCAAGCAUAGUCUCUGGAGAUUUUUGUUAUUUUGUUAUCUUUUAUGAGAGAUGGGUAAAUUCAUGGUAUAGCAGGGUAUAUCCUCUUGGUAUCAUCUUCUAGCACCGCCUUUCUCCUGAGUGAUUUAUGCCAGAGUCCAGAGAUGGCAAGGAGUGAUUCAACACCUAUUUAUUGAUCUCUUACUGUGUACUAGGCUUUGGGUACAGAGGGUGGUUCUCUAUUUUCUAACAUAAAGGCACACAGAACGUGAUAUGAAAUAUGUGAAGGAGCUUAGGCGUAGGAGAGGACUUACAUGUAAUCAGAUCAGGAAGAGGACACAAUAAUGUGUGUUGACCAUGUAACCCGUGUUAGGAUAGCAGGGAACUGCUAGAGGAGGAUCUGUAGAAUCCAUGGAGGAGACACAAGAAGAGGCAGUGGCAGGCAGAAUUUGCCAUACCAACAUCUGGACUUGGAGUUAUUUUUUCAUUAUCGUUAUUGAGCAUCUGCUGUGUGCUCAGUACUGGCCUAGAUACUGAAAAUACAGUGAUAAGCAAAACGAAGUCCUUUGUGUUGUGGACCUCAUAUUCUAGUAAAUGGGACUGGUAACUCAAAAUAUAUAAAUAAAUAAGCAAUGUAAAUUAAUAAGGCGAUAUGCUAGGGAAUAAUUGGGGGAAAAGGUUGAGUGUCUGGGGUGGUAAGGGUUUUACUUUAUUUUUAAAUGUUUAUUUUGAGAGUGGGGGUGGGCAGAGAGACAGGGGGACAGAGGAUCCAAAGUGGGCUCUGUGCUGACCGCAGCAAGUCUGAUGGAGAGCUAGAAUUCACCAACCAUGAGAUCAUGACCUGAGCUGAAGUCAGACACUUAACUGACUGAGCCACCCAGGUGCCCCAAGGGUUUUACUUUAAAUUGGGGGUCAAGAAAGGUCCUUCUGACUGAGGAGGUGACAUUGACUUAAGAAUAAGAAGCCAGUCACGGGAAGAGCCAGGAGGACAGUAUUGCAGACAGAGAAUGGGAAGUGCAAAAACCUUGAGACAGGAAAGAGCUUGGUGUGUUCAGGGGAUAGAAAAGAGGCUAGUGUGGCCACAGUGCAGUGAGCAAGGAGGAAAGUGGAGUGAGAUGAGGUGCAUCUAGUGUCAGAAUGAGAGACGAGGAGGUUCAGGGUGCUUGAGGAGGAUAACAUUGGAAGCAAUCAUAGGACCACUCUUGGGGAUUUUAGAGGAUCCUGAUUCCUUUGGAUUAGAGCUGAGCUAGAGAGAGUGGGUUACUAACUAUUGUGACCUUACCAUAUCUACAAAGUGAUAUGUUUUAUUCAUUUAUUUAAAAAUAUUUUUAUUUAUUUUUGAGAGAGAGAGAGAGCGAGCACACGUGCGUGUGAGUGCGGGGGGGACAGAGAGAGAGAGUGAGACACAGAAUCCAAAGCAGGCUCCAGGCUCUGAGCUGUCAGCACAGAGCCCAAUGUGCUUAACUGACGGAGCCACCCAAGCGCCCCAAAUUGGUGUGUUUUAUUGUUUUAUAAAUUGGUUUUGGUAAAAAAAAAAAAAAAAAAAAAAAAAAGGAAUAACUGUACACCCUGCCAAAGUGACUCUUCCGAAGUAAAAUACUCAAUAUGUUUGUUUUGAAAAGUUAUUUAUUGUUACAGCAUAUACAUUAUUAUUUUUUCAUUGUUAUUUACUCACUUAUUACAUUUUUUCUGUUUUGUGUUCUUUUAAUUUUUUUAUCACUGUAAGAAGCAGCUUGUUGCCCAGAUGGCUUCUGUUUUCAUUUCCUUGUGAUGUUAUGACCUCUUCUAUUUUAAUAAAGAAAUGUUGCAUACACA